rnacentral:rRNA from 1 species
UACGUAGGGCGCAAGCGUUAUCCGGAAUUAUUGGGCGUAAAGAGCUCGUAGGCGGUGUGUCACGUCGGCCGUGAAAACCUGCAGCUUAACUGUGGGCGUGCGGUCGAUACGGGCAUCACUGGAGUUCGGCAGGGGAGACUGGAAUUCCUGGUGUAGCGGUGAAAUGCGCAGAUAUCAGGAGGAACACCGGUGGCGAAGGCGGGGUCUCUGGGGCCGAUACUGACGCUGAGGAGCGAAAGCGUGGGGGAGCAAACAGG